rnacentral:rRNA from 1 species
UACGUAGGGUGCAAGCGUUGUCCGGAAUUAUUGGGCGUAAAGAGCUCGUAGGCGGUUUGUCGCGUCGAAUGUGAAAACCCGGGGCUCAACCCCGGGCCUGCAUUCGAUACGGGCAGACUAGAGUCCGGAAGAGGAGAGUGGAAUUCCUGGUGUAGCGGUGAAAUGCGCAGAUAUCAGGAAGAACACCUAUGGCGAAGGCAGCUCUCUGGGACGGUACUGACGCUGAGACGCGAAAGCGUGGGGAGCGAACAGG